CAGUAGCCGCGGUAACACGCAGGGGGCUAGCGUUGUUCGGAAUUACUGGGCGUAAAGCGCACGUAGGCGGCUUGGUAAGUUAGAGGUGAAAGCCCAGGGCUCAACCCUGGAAUUGCCUUUAAGACUGCCGAGCUAGUAGGUGAGAGAGGUAAGUGGAAUUCCGAGUGUAGAGGUGAAAUUCGUAGAUAUUCGGAAGAACACCAGUGGCGAAGGCGGCUUACUGGCUCAUUCUAGACGCUGAGGUGCGAAAGCGUGGGGAGCAAACAGGAUUAGAGACCCCCGUAGUCCCUGUCUCUUAUAC
rnacentral:rRNA from 1 species